AGAUCUGGGUAUGGGUAUGAAAUAUGAAUUAGUUUUGAGAAAUUUGGUUGGAUUGAUUUUAAUUUAGGUAUUUGGGUUACAUUAGGUUUUGAUUUUAUUUUUUGAAAUUUUGGGUUAUAUAUGAUUUAGGUCUGGAGAGGGCAAAAACAGAGAAAUAAGAGAGAACAAGAGUUCUUAUUCGGAAAGAGCAGAAAUCUUUAUCAUAUAUAAAUGUUGGGGUUAAACGGAAUCUACAAAGGUCUAUAUUUAUUCCUCACAAAAGGGACAUGAUAGGCGGAAAAUAAAAAGGGGAAACGAUAUUUGACUGAUUGGAAGGGAGCAAGAACAAAAAGAACAACUGAGAUAUGAAAUGAGCUGAUGCUGAAUUAGCAUCUUCAAAUGCACUUGGUUGGAUUGUUUUAGAUUUAGAUAUUUGACUUAGAUUUGGUUUUAAUGGGUUUAAAAUAAAUUUUGUUUUGAGUAUUUGUAUUAGAUUUGGGUUAAAUUCGUUUUUGGUAUUUGCCUA